rnacentral:rRNA from 1 species
AUGGCGACCGGCGCACGGGCGAGUAACGCGUAUCCAACCUGCCCUUUACUAUGGGACAGCCCGUCGAAAGGCGGAUUAAUACCGUAUGUUGUCAUGUUGAUGCAUAUUUUCAUGACCAAAGGCUUCGGCCGGUAAAGGAUGGGGAUGCGUCUGAUUAGCUUGCCGGCGGGGUAACGGCCCACCGGGGCGACGAUCAGUAGGGGUUCUGAGAGGAAGGUCCCCCACAUUGGAACUGAGACACGGUCCAAACUCCUACGGAAGGCAGCAG